AUUUACGGCCAUACCACCCUGAGCACGCUCGAUCUGGUCUGAUCUCGGAAGCUAAGCAGGGUCGGGCCUGGUUAGUACUUGGAUGGGAGACUGCCUGUGAAUACCAGGUGCUGUAAGCU
ensembl:rRNA 5S_rRNA 5S ribosomal RNA